GAAAAAGUGAGAAAAAGUGCAAGUUAGCUCAAAAUGGAAAUUUGAGCGUUUUUGGCCAAAAUUGCCAAAAUAAAUUGUUGGAGGGUGAUAUUAUAAGGUAUGAUACUAUUGUUAUUUAUUUGGGAAAUAAAUAAUACGGAAUUUAUCGAGAAUCGAAUGAUUAAAGGAUUAGUGGACUAAAUUGGACGAAAUAAAAGUUAUAAAGUGAAAGUUGAGGAGGUGACAAACUCAAGGACUAAAGGAGACUUUUGCCUCACCUAUUUAAGACACUUGCAUAUGAGUUUAAACUCAGCAAGCAUAUCAUUUUCAGCUCCUAAAAUUCGUCCUUCACCCUUUCUCCAUGGAAGAACAUCAAGCAAAUUUCAAAUGGUCAUAACUCACUCAAUUUUGAUCCGAAUUGAGCGAUUCUUGUGGCCACGGAACGAGGGAAGGAUCCUCUACUGAUAUAUAGUAUCAAUUUAAGGUUAUUGAAAGCUUGAAGGGAGUAUUUUGAUGGUUGUUCAUGGAGGAAUUCAUUCAACCAAAGGGUUAUCCCAUCAAGAAAAGCGUUAUCGAAAUUGCGUAGACUCGAAGAAGCGACUAUCGAUAAGGCUCGAGGCGAAUGGAUCGAGAUAUCGUCGUGCUUAUUUAAAGAAUUUGGAUAGCAAGUGGGAUGGUAUGAUAUGAUUUGAAGAGUUAAGCUUCCGAAGUUUUAAUUCUCGGAAGUCAUUUGUAUAAGAAGAAAAAGAAGGUUUUCAUUCUAGCGGUCCGCAGUAGUCUAGAUAUUUUAACUAGAAUUUUGUAUAACGCGUUUUUAACUCUGAUAUUAUUUGUAAAUGGGGUCACAUGUAUUUUAAUAUAUGAAAUAUGUUUUGAUUUGCGAAAAAAAAUUUACACAGGUUUUUAGGCUUGCUACGGGAUUUGGAGCUACCACUCCCAUUCCCUAGCGCCGGUCGCGGCUCAUAAAUUUGGGUCGUGACAAAGUUGGUAUCAGAGCAAUGGUUUAGAAUUCCUAGGCCAUUGUUCUUUUAUGAUUGAAGUAUAGGAAAGUGUCGAUCAAUAUAUAGGAACUACUGCGGAUUAUAGGGAUUUCCAGUCAUGUCUUUUGAACGUUAUCAAUGUUUUCAUCGAUUUUUCAAA